ACAAAAGAAAAGCUUGUGAGUUUUUCCGGAUGAUUUCUUCACGCGAGCAUGAAGCCCAUCUGUUGGACAGAGACCACUUAGAAGAACUUGGAUUUGUUCCUCAUGACUCUACCCUGUUUAUCCUAAUAAGACUUUCCUUCAACUCAGUAUAACUGGCUUGAAGUUAAAAGCUUGCACCUAUAGGAAGCUCGAUCCAUGGAGAAGCCAUUCUUGUGGGCAUCUCUACACCCCUCCUGCUUCCCAUCAUGCUGAGGAGUGAGAUUCUGCAGCCCAGAAAUCGUGUCGUCUA